rnacentral:rRNA from 1 species
AAUUUUGGACAAUGGGGAAACCUUGAUCCUGCUAUCUCGCGUGUAUGAUAAAGUCCUUCGUGUUGUCAAGUACUGUUUGCUGAGAAGAAAAUGUAUCCCAUACUACGGGAUACUCCUGACGGUAUCCGCAGAAUAAGCACUGGCUAACUACGUGCCAGCAGCCGCGGUAAUACGUAUGGUGCAAGAGUUAAUCGGAAUUACUGGGCGUAAAGCGUGUGUAGGCGGUUCGGAAAGAAAGAUAUGAGAUCCCAGGGCUCAACCUUGGAACUGCAUUAUUAACUGCCGAGAUAGAGUAUGUCAGAGGGAUGUAGAAUUCCACGUGUAGCAGUGAGAUGCGUAGAUAUGUAGAGGAAUACCAAUGGCGAAGGCAGCCCCCUGGGAUAAUACUGUCGCUCAGACACGAAAGCGUGGGGAGCAAACAGG